GCCUAGGAGGAAAAAAGCCCAGUGGGUUAGGAAACACCCGCUCACCCUUGCAAAGCCGCAGCAGCAUCCAGGGUCUUGGCCGCUCGUUCUAGUUUAUGGCGAAAGCCAGGUGGAGCCAGGAACAGACUCUGUGCUUCUGAGGCAGCCGGACACAGCUCUUGACGCAGAAGGUUGAUUUUGUUUGGAUCUCUCUUGACCAGACAAGGUAGGGUUAAGUGUGUGAAGGGGGAGAAGGGAAUGCAGACCUCCUGGAACUUGAAACUUCCCAGCCCAGAGCCAGCCAGUGCGUGGAGACGCAGCCCCAACGUGCUGCUGCUGCUGCGGACACCUGGGGCGUGGAGCCAGGGCACGGGGCAGCUGUCCCUCUGCAGCCACACACCACAGGGGAUGGGCACCAGCAGACACGCCUGCUCGCUCCAGGGGAUCUGAAGGGAGCCGAGCUCCUUCUGCAGAAGGGCGCUGAGAAGGGAGCUGGAAGGAAAAGAAGGAAACAUUCCUUCCUCAACUGGAGGAAGACACGCGGCCACACACAGAACCAGCGGCCCCAGGACCGUCACCCUGCGUGCCCGGGCCUGUCCCUCCUGACCCCAGGAUUAUAGUGGCGAGGCAGGGUGUUAGCCAAGCGGAUUGAGCCAGGACACAACACCGCGGAGCCCUGCAGGCGAGUCCUCCGGAGGCUGAGAGCAAACGGCUGCACUAGGAACCCAGCAGUCAGACCGGCCCCCACCCUGGAGUGAACACAUCGCCACUGCCAGGCAUCGCAGGGAGGAUUACCCCAAUGGCACCUGGCUGGGCGACGAGAACAACCCCGAGAUGCGGGUGCACUGCGCCAUCAUCCCCUCCGACAUGCUGCACAUCAGCACCAACUGCCGCACGGCCGAGGAGAUGGUGCUCACGCUGCUGGACUACCUCUUCCACCGCGAGGUGCAGGCUGUGUCCAGCCUCUCGGGGCAGGGCAAGCACGGGAAGAAGCAGCUGGACCCGCUCACCAUCUAUGGCAUCCGGUGUCACCUUUUCUAUAAAUUUGGCAUCACAGAAUCUGACUGGUACCGAAUCAAGCAGAGCAUCGACUCCAAGUGCCGCACGGCGUGGCGGCGCAAGCAGUGGGGCCAGAGCCUGGUGGUCAAGAGCUUCUCGUGGAGAAUGCCCAACUCAUCCUCCUACUGCCCCUCAGAGCCGAUGAUGAGCACCCCACCUCCUGCCAGAGAGCUCCUGCAGCCACAGCUGCAGCCGCAGGCCCUGCACUACGCGCUGGCCAACGUGCAGCAGGUGCAGAUCCACCAGAUCGGAGAAGACGGACAGGUGCAAGUAGGACACCUCCACAUCGCCAAGGUGCCACAGGGGGAGCAAGUCCAGAUCACGCAGGACAGCGAGGGCAACCUCCAGAUCCAUCACGUGGGGCAGGAUGGUCAGCUGAGUGUCCCAGUCCCCAUGCACAUGCG
ensembl:lncRNA novel transcript